UCGCCUGCGUGAAGUUGGAAUUGCUAGUAAUCGCGGAUCAGCAUGCCGCGGUGAAUACGUUCCCGGGCCUUGUACACACCGCCCGUCACACCAUGGGAGCCGGUAAUACCCGAAGUCAGUAGCUUAACCGCAAGGGGAGCGCUGCCGAAGGUAGGAUUGGCGACUGGGGUGAAGUCGUAACAAGGUACC
rnacentral:rRNA from 1 species